CUGUAAAGAAAAGAGAUAUUUUCGUCUAUUAACUUCCUGUGCAUGAAAACUUUUUAUUGUUGUUGCAGGCAAAAGUAAAAUUUGUGGUUACUUUGUGUGUCUGUGUGCGUGUGUGUGUGUGUGUGUGUGUGUGUGUGAGAGAGAGAGAGAGAGUGCAGCAACCAGUGCUGUUGUUGUUGCUAUCAGCAUCGUGUUGCUAAUGAUUCAGGCUCAAAACAGA